rnacentral:rRNA from 1 species
CACGUAGGGCGCAAGCGUUGUCCGGAAUUAUUGGGCGUAAAGAGUCUGCUAUGAGCGGACUGUCACGUCUGCUGUGAAAAGCUGGGGCUUAACCCUGGCCUUGCAGUGGAUACGGGCAGACUAGAGGUAGGUAGGGGAGAAUGGAAUUCCCGGUGUAGCGGUGAAAUGCGCAGAUAUCGGGAGGAACACCGGUGGCGAAGGCGGUUCUCUGGGCCUUACCUGACGCUGAGGAGCGAAAGCGUGGGGAGCGAACAGG